GGGGGCGGUACGGGGGUAUAAACAUGUGGUCUUGGAGACUUGGUCACAUGUUUGAGCUAACACCCAGGUGUAGGAGCUGACCAAGUGAGCCUAUAAAUAGACCUGAUAGUUAUUUAAUGCUUCUGCUUUCCUAAGGGACGACUUUUCUCUGGUUUUAACUGAUAACAUUUAUUAUAUGUAGCCUGGCACUGCUCAGUUCAAAACAAGUUAUAAAAAUUCACUGGCAGACGUGAGCCAGACUUGAGUGAUGAUUGUGGUGUGGAGUUAGGAGACAACUUAAAAGGAAUCAGCCGCACUAGCUGUCCGCAAUUUGGACAUUUUCAAGUCAGCAGUUGAAAGACACUGAGUCGGUAUCCCAAGACACAAAGCCUCAGGAUUAUUGGUCAGAACUUGUCUGAUGCUUCUGUCCAGCAUGCUCGUCCUUCUGCUGGCCCUCAUCUUGACCUGCGCCACGGCCAUCUUUGUCUCCGAACCUGCAGGGGUUCCAAGCUCUAGCAAACGAUCAGCGAUGGACCUGGCCAUGAUGCAAGUGUAUCGGAUCUGUGACAGCGACAAGAACGGUCUAUUUACCCGACCGGAGCUCCAGUGCGUGCAGCGAGUGCUAAACAUCCUCUUCACUGGCCGGUAACCGGGGACGGCCCACAACCCCGUGUCAUUAACAAUUACAAAAGAAUCGUUACAUUGUUUUAUGAAAUGAUUUGUUUUCGCUAAAUUUUUCUUAAUAUUUACUUUCAAUAAUGUAAGUCUGUUCGUACUGUUUUACUUGUUGAAUUAUACUCAAACUUUAGUACAUCUACGUAUUAAAAUUGUAGCAAAUUACCGCAAGGAACAUAAAUCCUCUACACAU